UAUACAUGCAGUCGAGCGAACAGAAGGGAGCUUGCUCCCGGAUGUUAGCGGCGGACGGGUGAGUAACACGUGGGUAACCUGCCUGUAAGACUGGGAUAACUCCGGGAAACCGGAGCUAAUACCGGAUAGUUCCUUGAACCGCAUGGUUCAAGGAUGAAAGACGGUUUCGGCUGUCACUUACAGAUGGACCCGCGGCGCAUUAGCUAGUUGGUGGGGUAAUGGCUCACCAAGGCGACGAUGCGUAGCCGACCUGAGAGGGUGAUCGGCCACACUGGGACUGAGACACGGCCCAGACUCCUACGGGAGGCAGCAGUAGGGAAUCUUCCGCAAUGGACGAAAGUCUGACGGAGCAACGCCGCGUGAGUGAUGAAGGUUUUCGGAUCGUAAAGCUCUGUUGUUAGGGAAGAACAAGUGCGAGAGUAACUGCUCGCACCUUGACGGUACCUAACCAGAAAGCCACGGCUAACUACGUGCCAGCAGCCGCGGUAAUACGUAGGUGGCAAGCGUUGUCCGGAAUUAUUGGGCGUAAAGGGCUCGCAGGCGGUUUCUUAAGUCUGAUGUGAAAGCCCCCGGCUCAACCGGGGAGGGUCAUUGGAAACUGGGAAACUUGAGUGCAGAAGAGGAGAGUGGAAUUCCACGUGUAGCGGUGAAAUGCGUAGAGAUGUGGAGGAACACCAGUGGCGAAGGCGACUCUCUGGUCUGUAACUGACGCUGAGGAGCGAAAGCGUGGGGAGCGAACAGGAUUAGAUACCCUGGUAGUCCACGCCGUAAACGAUGAGUGCUAAGUGUUAGGGGGUUUCCGCCCCUUAGUGCUGCAGCUAACGCAUUAAGCACUCCGCCUGGGGAGUACGGUCGCAAGACUGAAACUCAAAGGAAUUGACGGGGGCCCGCACAAGCGGUGGAGCAUGUGGUUUAAUUCGAAGCAACGCGAAGAACCUUACCAGGUCUUGACAUCCUCUGACAACCCUAGAGAUAGGGCUUUCCUUCGGGGACAGAGUGACAGGUGGUGCAUGGUUGUCGUCAGCUCGUGUCGUGAGAUGUUGGGUUAAGUCCCGCAACGAGCGCAACCCUUGAUCUUAGUUGCCAGCAUUCAGUUGGGCACUCUAAGGUGACUGCCGGUGACAAACCGGAGGAAGGUGGGGAUGACGUCAAAUCAUCAUGCCCCUUAUGACCUGGGCUACACACGUGCUACAAUGGACAGAACAAAGGGCUGCAAGACCGCAAGGUUUAGCCAAUCCCAUAAAUCUGUUCUCAGUUCGGAUCGCAGUCUGCAACUCCGGCUGCGUGAAGCUGGAAUCGCUAGUAAUCGCGGAUCAUCAUAC
rnacentral:rRNA from 2 species